AUGGCCGGAAUUGUCAACAAGGAGUUUGCUGAGUUGGCCCAGAUGGGGCUGAACUACCUGUCAUGGGCCUCGGACUGUGAGAUCUUUCUCCAGGUCAAAACCCUCCUGAGGGCGAUCAGUAAUGGAACCCAGCUGGCACCACUGAUCCCAAGUUCGGAGAAUGCGCAGGCUCUGCAUUUUCUCCGUCAUCACAUGUCACCUACUCUGAAAGACGAGUAUAUGGCUGAGCGGAGUGCUUCUGGCCUUUGGACCGCUCUUAAGCAGCGGUUUGUGUGGCUGAAGUACAUGGUGAAGCCACGUGCAGAGGCAGAGUGGAUCCAUCUGAGGUUUGCGGACUUCAAGACGAAGAUUGAGAAAACCCUAUCCACUUUCCACCCUGACGCGGUCCUGUCCACAUGGAACUACCGCCAGGGCAACUACAUGAGGUAGUCAGAGUUGAUUGAUGUCAUCCAAGUGGCAGAGGCACGGGACGAGGUUCUGAAAAAGAACUUUGUCGCGCAACCACUUGGGAGUUCUCGCUAGGAGGUGAACGCUCUCAAAGUCCGCAAGCCUCAACAAAGGAAGAGGGGCCGCAAGGGCAAGAAGAAGGCAAAAGUCGGGCAAGGGGGGCAGAGGCCUCAGGACUGCUUCCGGUGUGGCUCGGUGGAGCAUUUCUCCCGCCAGUGUCGCGCACCACAGGAGGUUGUUGAUGCAUACAAGGCUCGGAAGGCUCGUGAGACGCACCUCGCCUUGGUUCAGGAGGGAGCACCACCGGUGCCCAUGGCGGCACCCGUGAUGAUCUCUACGUGUAACGCCCCGAAGCCGAUACUCCAGAUGCCUUCCUUUUAUUUUAGUUGUUGUCGUGUGUUUAUUGUGUGUGGCAUUGUCAUAAUUGUUUUGCAUAUUUGUUUUCCCCUAUGUUGUUGCCACGAUCAUGAUGAAUGUCAUUGUCAUAUUUUGCUUCUUACAUCAUGUUCAUCUUUUAUUAUAUUGCAUUGUGCCAUCCUUGUUUGUUUGCCUUGGCUGUGUCACUUGCUUUCUUCUAUGCUUCAUGUUGUGAUAUUGCCUUUGUCAUUUUGUUGCAUUUGCAUCAUGAUCAUCAUUGUCAUGUGCAUAUUUGUUGUGUGCUUGUUAUCUUUGUGA
rnacentral:rRNA from 1 species